UACAGAGGCCUCGAGCGUUAGGCGGAAUCACUGGGCUUAAAGCGUGUGUAGGCGGACUUCUAAGUACCUUGUGAAAUCCCACGGCUUACCCGUGGAACUGCUUGGUAUACUGGUUGUCUUGGGCUUUCUAGGGGCGAGUGGAACAAAUGGUGGAGCGGUGAAAUGCGUAGAUAUCAUUUGGAACGCCAAUGGUGAAAACAACUCGCUGGGGAAAUGCUGACGCUGAGACACGAAAGCCAGGGGAGCGAACGGG
rnacentral:rRNA from 1 species